AUUAAUGUACAAAAUAUAUAAAGAACUCACAAUUCACUUGGAAGCUAAGCAGGGUCGGGCCUGGUUAGUACUUGGAUGGGAGGCCACAUAGGAAGACCAGGUGCUGUAGGCG
rnacentral:rRNA from 1 species